rnacentral:tRNA from 1 species
GGCGUAAUUCAGCGGUAGAAUGCCAGCUUCCCAAGCUGGACGUCGUGGGUUCGACU